CCAGGAUUCCUCAUGGGCACUUCGUGGCCCUGGAUUUCACUUCUUCUAGGGUGCUGAGAGAGAUGGGCAACAGGGGCACACCUUUGCAGCAUCUUCCCCACAUGCAGAGAUGCUGGGAGAAUCAC